rnacentral:lncRNA from 1 species
GCACAAGUACAAGAAGUAACCCAGGUACAACCACAACCAAAUGAAUAUAGAAACGACUAUGCAAUCAUUCAUUCACAAUUCACAUCACAGUUAUACAUUCAAUAUUUAAACAUAAAUCCACAGAAAAUUCUUUUGAAAACUGUUUCCUACACGGAAAUCUUUAUUCUUUAAAAACGCUACCACGAGGGGUAGAAAACCUUUUAUUUACGAAAAUCACGAAUCCUUUUUAUUACAUUCAUAAAGCCAAAUCAAAAUAUGAUAGUUAACUGAAAUACCCAAAAACUGAACCAUAUAAACUAUCUAAGCUAUAUCAACAGGAUAGUAGGGGUAGAAACUAAACCGAAUAAUCGAAAGCUCUAUCAACCGCUACGUACGUAUCUCACGUCUCGUCUCAACCCUCACCGCCCGCGAUACCUGAAAAAUAGUG